UGCUUUCAGGUAAUAAUUUAAAGUAAUACCUGCUCAAUGAUAAAUUAAAUAGCCGCAGUUAACUGUGCAAAGGUAGCAUAAUAACUUGCUUCCUAAUUAGAAGAAAGAAUGAAUGGUAUAACACCUAAUAUUUGUCUAUAUUUAAAUAACAAAAUUACAUAAGAAGUAAAAAUUCCUCUAAAAAAUAACGGGACGACAAGACCCUAAUAAACUUAAUAAUUAGUUGGGGAAACAUAUUAAAUAAACUUUAAACUAAUUCAAAAAUAUACUUAAAAUUAAAUACAGUUACUAUAGGGAUAACAGCGUUAUUUCUUUCUAAAGAACUUAUCCAAAAAGAAGAUUACGACCUCGAUGUUGAAUUAAUUUUCCUAAUUAAGCGCAAAAGCUGAAAUAAGGUAGUCUGUUCGACUAUUAAAAAUU
rnacentral:rRNA from 1 species